CCUACGGGGGGCAGCAGUGGGGAAUAUUGCACAAUGGGCGGAAGCCUGAUGCAGCAACGCCGCGUGCGGGAUGACGGCCUUCGGGUUGUAAACCGCUUUCGCCUGUGACGAAGCGUGAGUGACGGUAAUGGGUAAAGAAGCACCGGCUAACUACGUGCCAGCAGCCGCGGUGAUACGUAGGGUGCGAGCGUUGUCCGGAUUUAUUGGGCGUAAAGGGCUCGUAGGUGGUUGAUCGCGUCGGAAGUGUAAUCUUGGGGCUUAACCCUGAGCGUGCUUUCGAUACGGGUUGACUUGAGGAAGGUAGGGGAGAAUGGAAUUCCUGGUGGAGCGGUGGAAUGCGCAGAUAUCAGGAGGAACACCAGUGGCGAAGGCGGUUCUCUGGGCCUUUCCUGACGCUGAGGAGCGAAAGCGUGGGGAGCGAACAGGCUUAGAUACCCCUGUAGUC
rnacentral:rRNA from 1 species